rnacentral:snRNA from 1 species
GUUCUCUAGCACACAUAUUAAAAUUGUAAUGAUACAGAAAAUAUUAGCAUGGCCCAUGCUCAAGGAUGACAUACAUGUUUGUGAAGCAUUUGUAUUAUGA